UUCCCAUAAGUCAACGAGGGCUAAAAGUGUAUGGUUAAAGAACUCACAAUUUUUUUCUUAAUAAGUAAGCCCCCUGUUUUUCCUCUUUCUGCAACUCUCCCUCGCCGCCUUAAGUGUUUGCGAUUUUUCCACUGACAAAUUUUUGUGAAGAAGGCCUUUUACAGGAUAUACACUGUCCUCGAAGUUAAACUAAAUGAAUUUACGAAAAAGCAUGUUGGCUAUAGAUUUCCUUUAGUGUGCUUUUUGUUUGUUAUAAAGUAGUUUCACAUUCCUGGGUUUAUUUGACAAGAUAUAAACAUGGGACAAAAGUAAGAUCUGAUAAUGUUUUUCUAAGAGUUGUUGUAAAAGCAUGUUGAAGUUUGUGAAAAAUCAGACAAAAAAAAUUAUGCAUCAAUCUUGUACAAACAAUGCAUCUCGAUAAAGGGGACUGAAUCUGCAAAUUACCAGCCUAAAGAAAAAUUAAAGAUAGUUAAUCAGUUGAUAUUGCGAGAUAUCAAAUUAAUUACUAGGUACACUGUCUUCCAGAGACAAUGAGGAGAAAAUCCACCUUGCUAUUUUACUAAGAAGUCCCAUCUUGAGUUUCUCUGGACUUGCAAGCACCUUUGUUGAAGCUAGCAACAAUAAAUUUAAAAAAAAUAUAACUUGGCAGGCUGACGUGCCAAAAAGUUUGAAUCUUGGCACGGUGAACUAAAUGCUGGGAUUUUGAAACCAUCUUCUUGUGGCGACUACAUCUCGGGUUUUUUAUUGCAAACACAUUUGAAGAAGGGUAGCGAUGCGCACCAUAAUUUAUACUUGCCGCUUUAAAUUGGGGUGAACUUUUUAUAUUUGCUUGAUGUGUUAAAUGCCAGCAAUUUUAAACUGUCUUUCAUGUCAAGAAAGGGGGGUACAGCCCGUCAUGUUGUUUUUAUUCUUAUCAUGGAACCUGAGUUUCUUUCGGCUUCCAAACAUUGUAACCGAAGGUAGUAAUAAUACACAAUAUGAAUUAUACCUGACUCCAUUAACUGGGGGUAAACUUUUAACUUUGUUUUUUGAAAUUUUCAACAGCCCUCUCUCACGGCAAGUGCUAUCAGGAAAGAGAAACAUAUUUCGUGAAUUUGAUAUUUAAGGAAAACCCCCUCUCGAAAGGGUCUUGCUUUCAAAUCAUUAAUGAAAUAAAUUUGAAGUGCCCGCAAAUUUCGCUCUUUGAUUAUAAAAAUUUGAUGCAAGGAUGCAACAUCUAAAGCUAAUUCAUAAAACAUGUCAUUUUCGUUUUCUCUACUUGUUCAAGAUGACGGUUUCAGAUAUGCUGUUUGUAUUACCGACUUUGUACAGCUAAAACGUUUUAAAUCUGAGUUUGAUUAAAAAUAAGCAGUGGCAACAAAACCUAUAUUAGCCAUUUUGUUAAUGCAUAUUAUAGUCAGUGUAACUGUGUGUGAAUGACACGUUCUUUAUAUAGAUUAACUUUACUUUUUUCAUGAAGCACAGACAUGCUUUAUCUUGCAUGAUUGCGAUGAGAGCUAUGAUAUUGCUAAUGGUAAUAAUAAUGAUAAUGAAUUUCUCAAGUAUCAAGAGUCAACAAGUAAUUAAGCCAGGGUUUAAUUUUCUAGAAGGAUUUACUGAAUUACAAUCAAGGUAAUAGAACAUUCCCGUCCCACACGAAAAUAGCUCAUAUCUUAAUAGGAUUCUUGCUGCAAGUAAAUACUUUUUCCUCUGUCAAUACUAAAUGCUACUCACAGGAGGCGUGACUAUUAAUUGGGUUAAUCAUGUUUGGCUGACGCCACAUUGAAAGUACGCUUGCGUGCUUGCUGUAUAAUAUUACAUUUGGUGCAGAUCCCUUAUGAAAUUGUAAGCGUGUAGGAGGGCAUUAUUUAUAGGAACUUUUUUUAUUUUUAAAAAGAACCAAUUUUGAUUUGAUUUGUCAGGAGAGUAAACAGGUUAAUAAUGUGGGGCAAUCUUAACAUGAAAGGCACAAUAUCCAACAAUUACAAGUAUUUACUAAAAAUACAAAGGCUGAUCAAUCUAAUUUGAAGAAUAGAUGGUUUUGGCAUCUCCAUUGCUUUUUAAAAGGAAAUGCUCACAACUUUACUACAAUCAUAUGACUACCAUAAGUAUUUUCCCAUGAACUGAAAACAAACAAAAAUCACUCCAACAAGAAAUUUUUUUUAUAUUCUUUUCAACCCUUCUUUGUAUAUGGGUGCCUAUUGUCCUCUACCUCUAUUUAAGAAACACUCUUCCCUUCCCUAAACCAAUGAACUAAAAACGAAAUAAAAAUGAGCAACGAAGAAAAAACAGUCGUCGUGCAUUUCAGAGGAGAGGUGAAAGUAAGUACUCUUUUUAUCUCGAAUACUAUCUUCAGGAAUUCGAACCUAUUCGCUUUGCAAAGAACAACACCUCUAUUUUUUUUUCUUAUACGACUCAUUGCUACUUCUAUCUAUGACACUAGGCAAAAGGAUUCUCUAAACGUUACCAAAAUUGAAUUCUUGUAACCCUUUCCAUGUUCACAAUUUUUUUUAAUAAUUUUUUCAACAGAAUCUACCCUACAAUGAUGGCAGCAUACGACGCCUGAAAAUUGAAGCUGCCAGGGCAAAAAAACAAAAUUCGGUUUCCUUGAUCGUCAUCGGCGUCCCGUAAGAGAAUUAAGGAGCGGGGAUGAGGUAUUCCUGCAUCUCUACAGGAAACCAAGAAACAAAAGGGGCGGUAAAGUUAGAGAAACAGUAACUUUCAAUUUUUCAUUUUCAUAACUACCUUUUAAUUUCAAUCUUCCUGUUCAGUUUCCUAAUCUUAACGCUUUUUAAAUUAAAGGUAUAAUUUUAAUUAGUAGAUUGGCUGAUUAGUUAAUUUUGUCAAUUAAUCAUCGUUUCCCAAUAAUUCUCCCUGUAUGUAAUUGAAAACCCCAAAUAAAGGCAAGUGUCCUUCCAUAAUCACAUAGUCUAAAUAUGGGCAAGCGUCUUUCAAUGAUCACAUGACCAUUUCGCCUCAUAAAACUUGGCUGUUGAAUGACAACCAUUUGCACUUCGACUUCAAUGCAUUCAAAAUUAUAAGUACCUUUAAUUCAAUGAUUUGCAACUCCAUCUUAUAUUCAAAUUUCGUAUCCAAAGUCAUCAAAAUUAUGUCAUAUAUAGUAACCUGAGGCAGCGAAUGUUGCUAUGUCCAAUAUUUUACAAAUGUUAUGCAAAAUUAAAACAUCCCUUUCAUCAAGAUUUUACCGUUGAUAUUGCAUAUGAUCGUUUUUAAGGUUUUAGUUUCUUUAUUGAUGCAACUUCAUAAUUUUCUUGCGUUUCCUCUAUGUAUUUAUCAAUGGCGUAACGAAAGACUGCGUAGGUGCGAAACCACCCCUCCCCUACUAAGAAUCAUUGACUCAACAGUGAAGUUCAGCAAAAGCAUUUAUAAGAAUGCCUUACUUUCAUCUUAAUACAGUGCAAAUCACCUUUGACAUAAAACCAUUCAGUUUCGCACCCCCUAGAGAAACUCCAGCCUAUGCCAUUGGAAAUCUUCUAUAUAAUUGUAGAUACAACGUGUUUCCAUUAAAAAUGCUAUCUGUAGUUAAUUCUUUAAUUCCAGUUUUGACCUUGUGCUAUUAAGUGAUAAUUUUAAAUGACCACGACUUCUACUCAUUGAUUCUAUCUUUAAUCGUUGCAUUCGUUGUAUUCGUAGAAGUUUAUGAAACGAACCAAUUCAACAAAUUUAACUGUAUCACAGUAGCCUAUAACAUUUAUAACGCAUUUCAGGGGCAAAUAUUUACCUGUUUCAUCGGUUCUCUCCACCCAUCAUGUUGUAUUAAAAAAAACCCUUUUUCCAAAACUGGUUAUAAAAUCUGUGAAAAUUAUUAACUGCAAUAUAUACCAUCCAAUGCCAUCGAAGUAAUCACUAUGCACUAUAUUUCUCUUGGUUUCAUACAGUUUGACCUUUCUUUUACCCAAAAUUUCUCCCUUCAUAUAGCAUACGAAAUGGCUCAAUGUAAUAUUGAAACUAAAUUGAAGGAGCUGGCAUCUUUGCUUGAUGUUUCGCAAAACGUCUCUUUCUGAAAGCGAAAAGGGGGACGACCAACAAAGGGCUAUAAGAAUAUGCAGAGCCAAAUUGCAAAGUGCUUGCAGCCGCCUUGAGGUCAUUAGAAAAAAACUUCGAUGAUUUGCUUUACGAACAAAAUAUUUCAAAAGACAUGGACGAUUCAGACUUUUUAUUGCAAGUUAAAGAAAUUAAUUAGUUGUAGAUCCGCAUUUCACGUUUAGAUUAUGUAGAAAUAUACACCCCUAUUUUGUUUCAUCGUUUUCUGUCUCUGUUCUCAACAUCUAGAUACCUGUCGGAGAUCAAUACCACUUAUUUAAACCGAAUCAAUCCAUACAAAAUUCCUACAAAAUCCAUACAAUUUUUCACACAGUUUUGACAGGAACAGUUCUAAAUCCAGUACAGGUUUUAUCAUAUUUCAAUUUAUUUUCGAAAACCCUUUAUUUGUACAUUCGUUACCGUAAACCUUUAAGCAAAUAAGGGCAAAGUGAGAAGACCUGUAUCAGUUAACGAUAUCUAUUCAAACAACGAUCUAUUUGCCAAAAAGGAUAGGACAGGAAAGCAGGAACGAGGCUUAUUUUACCAUGCCAAAUGUCCUCCUUGCCUGAUAGUAAUUACUGUAAUAUGUACAGUGCAUAGGAAGAACACAACAGAACUACUGUAUAUGGUAGUACCAUUGUUUUGGAACGAUACAAACAAAAUAAAUUCUUCAUUGGAA